UUGAACGCUGGCGGCAGGCCUAACACAUGCAAGUCGAGCGGAUGAAGGGAGCUUGCUCCUGGAUUCAGCGGCGGACGGGUGAGUAAUGCCUAGGAAUCUGCCUGGUAGUGGGGGAUAACGUCCGGAAACGGGCGCUAAUACCGCAUACGUCCUGAGGGAGGAAGUGGGGGAUCUUCGGACCUCACGCUAUCAGAUGAGCCUAGGUCGGAUUAGCUAGUUGGUGGGGUAAAGGCCUACCAAGGCGACGAUCCGUAACUGGUCUGAGAGGAUGAUCAGUCACACUGGAACUGAGACACGGUCCAGACUCCUACGGGAGGCAGCAGUGGGGAAUAUUGGACAAUGGGCGAAAGCCUGAUCCAGCCAUGCCGCGUGUGUGAAGAAGGUCUUCGGAUUGUAAAGCACUUUAAGUUGGGAGGAAGGGCAGUAAGUUAAUACCUUGCUGUUUUGACGUUACCAACAGAAUAAGCACCGGCUAACUUCGUG
rnacentral:rRNA from 1 species